rnacentral:lncRNA from 1 species
GCACCAUGACUGCGGGGGGUCCCCUUCGGGAGGUGUCACAUGAAGCCGUCCUGCAGACCCCUGCCCUCUGGGGAGGCAGGACGCACAAACGAGCGACUGAGUCCAUCACGAGCUUGGGCAGAGCAGGGGCAACGGAGCCCAGGAAAGAGCGCUUUACAGUGAAGGAUCACAUCCUUUUGUCUGUAACGGAUUUCCACCUCCUGACGGGGCUCAGAGCCCUCAGGGUCCUGGUCGCAGGCGGACGUUCUGUCGUCUGAGUUAUGCUACGGCGUGGUGUCAGCGUGGCUACAAAGCGACAGUCUGGAUGCUGCCGAGCAGCAGCGCAGAAAGGAGGCGGCACAGGAGGAACGGUCAGAGGUUUCCUCCUUCUUCAAAAAAAAAAAAGAAAAAAAAAAAGAAAAAGAAAAAAAAGCUAGCCUCUUGUGUGGCUGAAAUGGAACUCAGUGUCACUGAGAAACAAGCCUCCUUUAUACGCAGCCCAGGAACAAUGUGUUUAUUUAUUUAUUUUUAACAGUCGCGAGUUACAGUAUUCCGCACCCUCCACGCACUCUUUGCAACCACAUGUCCUUUUCAAAAGUCUCUUUUUCCCAAACAUUCCAUCCAAAGGAUGAAUGGUCUCUUUGCACCAGUAACAUCCAAAUGUUCAAGUCAAAAAUAUGUGUACAUUUUAUACUUAGUUCUUUUUUUUUUUUUUGUCUGCUAAAAAUAGUAUUGCAAGUUUUGGCUUCUUUUGACAUAAAAAUUACAAUCAUGUGCGAAACGCUAACAAUGAAGCGAUUGAUCAGAAUUCAAGCAGGUUGUCCAAUCUGAAUGUGUUAUAGAUUCUGCAUAAUUUUUCUUUUCAUUUUUUUUUUCCAGCGAAACAAAACAAACACACACACAAACAAAAACCAGAAACCCUUGCCAUGUCAGAAACAUCUUGUACCGAGCCCCCGCGCUCUCCGGCCGCCAGCGGGUGACACGCUCGCCCGGGGCUGGCUGGCUGACAGAGUGACAAAUUCCCGCAGCAGCAACGUUCGGAAACAGUAGUUAAAGCUCAAGACAGCUAUGCACUCUCCAUUCUGCAUUGAGGAUUUACCGCUGCAGAGGCAAAAAAGCAGGUUUUCUCGGAGUUCUCGGUUGGUGAACGGGCCAGAGGCCUUUUUCUACUUGUAGCAAGCUAUUUC